rnacentral:rRNA from 21 species
UCCAGGCAAAUCCGGAUAAUCAAGGCUGAGGUGUGAUGACGAGGCACUACGGUGCUGAAGUAACAAAUGCCCUGCUUCCAGGAAAAGCCUCUAAGCAUCAGGUAACAUUAAAUCGUACCCCAAACCGACACAGGUGGUCAGGUAGAGAAUACCAAGGCGCUUGAGAGAACUCGGGUGAAGGAACUAGGCAAAAUGGUGCCGUAACUUCGGGAGAAGGCACGCUGGUGUGUAGGUGAAGUCCCUGCGGAUGGAGCUGAGACCAGUCGAAGAUACCAGCUGGCUGCAACUGUUUAUUAAAAACACAGCACUGUGCAAACACGAAAGUGGACGUAUACGGUGUGACGCCUGCCCGGUGCCGGAAGGUUAAUUGAUGGGGUUAUCCGUAAGGAGAAGCUCUUGAUCGAAGCCCCGGUAAACGGCGGCCGUAACUAUAACGGUCCUAAGGUAGCGAAAUUCCUUGUCGGGUAAGUUCCGACCUGCACGAAUGGCGUAAUGAUGGCCAGGCUGUCUCCACCCGAGACUCAGUGAAAUUGAACUCGCUGUGAAGAUGCAGUGUACCCGCGGCAAGACGGAAAGACCCCGUGAACCUUUACUAUAGCUUGACACUGAACAUUGAGCCUUGAUGUGUAGGAUAGGUGGGAGGCUUUGAAGCGUGGACGCCAGUCUGCGUGGAGCCAACCUUGAAAUACCACCCUUUAAUGUUUGAUGUUCUAACGUUGGCCCCUGACCGGGGUUGCGGACAGUGUCUGGUGGGUAGUUUGACUGGGGCGGUCUCCUCCCAAAGCGUAACGGAGGAGCACGAAGGUUAGCUAAUCCUGGUCGGACAUCAGGAGGUUAGUGCAAUGGCAUAAGCUAGCUUGACUGCGAGCGUGACGGCGCGAGCAGGUGCGAAAGCAGGUCAUAGUGAUCCGGUGGUUCUGAAUGGAAGGGCCAUCGCUCAACGGAUAAAAGGUACUCCGGGGAUAACAGGCUGAUACCGCCCAAGAGUUCAUAUCGACGGCGGUGUUUGGCACCUCGAUGUCGGCUCAUCACAUCCUGGGGCUGAAGUAGGUCCCAAGGGUAUGGCUGUUCGCCAUUUAAAGUGGUACGCGAGCUGGGUUUAGAACGUCGUGAGACAGUUCGGUCCCUAUCUGCCGUGGGCGCUGGAGAAUUGAGGGGGGCUGCUCCUAGUACGAGAGGACCGGAGUGGACGCAUCACUGGUGUUCGGGUUGUCAUGCCAAUGGCACUGCCCGGUAGCUAAAUGCGGAAGAGAUAAGUGCUGAAAGCAUCUAAGCACGAAACUUGCCCCGAGAUGAGUUCUCCCUGAGACUUUAAGUCUCCUGAAGGAACGUUAAAGACGAUGACGUUGAUAGGCCGGGUGUGUAAGCGCAGCGAUGCGUUGAGCUAACCGGUACUAAUGAACCGUGAGGCUUAACCUU